GUAAAGGUAAGCUAACAUACUAAAAACAGUCGUAUUAUAGAAGUAGACAUGUGUAAUUGGAUACCUAUGCUGGGUAGGACAGGAUAGAGAAUGAGUGUAUUUUCUCUAUUGUUGUUAGAGAUUGAGUGUAUCAUCACUUUUAUUGUUUAAGAGUGAGAGAAUCCUCUCUUGUAUUUGUUGUUUCAAAUUUGAGUGGUGUGAGGAUAACAUUAAGAGCAUCAUUAUAUUCAAGUACUUAAAUCUUGAUUAGUGGAUUACCCCCUAACUAAGGUUGUUGAAGACUAGAUGUAGGCUUGAGAAAAGUUGAACCAGUAUAAAUCUUUGUGUGCUUUGAUCUUUCUUUCCUCUUUCUUUGCUUGGUUGAUUCAAACAUUUUUUAUUAUUGAUUUCAAGAUUUAAAGAUCUUCAAAGAUUUCAGAAAGCUUUUAAAAUCUAAUUCACCCCCCC
rnacentral:lncRNA from 1 species